GUGCAGCAGCCGCGGUAAUACGGAGGGGGUUAGCGUUGUUCGGAAUUACUGGGCGUAAAGCGCACGUAGGCGGACUUUUAAGUCAGAUGUGAAAUCCCAAGGCUCAACCUUGGAACUGCAUUUGAAACUGGGAGUCUAGAGAUCAGGAGAGGUUAGUGGAAUACCGAGUGUAGAGGUGAAAUUCGUAGAUAUUCGGUGGAACACCAGUGGCGAAGGCGACUGUCUGGCACAUUUCUGACGCUGAGGUGCGAAAGCGUGGGGAGCAAACAGGAUUAGAUA
rnacentral:rRNA from 1 species